CACGUAGGGCGCAAGCGUUGUCCGGAAUUAUUGGGCGUAAAGAGCUCGUAGGCGGUCUGUUGCGUCCGCUGUGAAAACUCGGGGCUUAACCCCGAGCCUGCAGUGGAUACGGGCAGACUAGAGGUAGGUAGGGGAGAAUGGAAUUCCCGGUGUAGCGGUGAAAUGCGCAGAUAUCGGGAGGAACACCUAUUGCGAAGGCAGCUCGCUGGGACGUAACUGACGCUGAGACGCGAAAGCGUGGGGAGCAAACAGG
rnacentral:rRNA from 1 species